CUCUGCAAAGAAGCAGAUCCACAAAACUUUAAGUCGCUUACAGUCAUCAAGUUAAACCCUGGAAGUGUCGUUGCAGAGAGUGUCGCAGAGUAUGGAUACGCAAACAAUGAAAGUCAAAUCCAGUUUGUCAACACAGAAAUUGGUGGUGUGCUGAAUGACAUCCUGAACAACACCAACACGCUCAGUAACAUUGGUCGUGCCUUUGGUAAUAAGCAAGUGUGGAAUUUAAUGAAGUGACACUGCAGCCAGUUGUCAUUAACAAUAUAACAGACCUGGAGCCUUACAUUAAUUGCACCCAGUAUGCUAAUUACACUGCUAUGAUGAUUACCGAUUCCUGGCAGUGUGCUGGACCGUGCAAAACAAAUCCUAACUACUGUCAACAUGGCGAAUGUCUCAAUCAAGUAUUCACAGGACCUAU